rnacentral:lncRNA from 1 species
GCCCCAGUAAAAAUUCUUAUAGUAUAAUAGAAAUUGGCCUCUGUGACAAUUCUGACAAAAUAAUAAAAAUUGGCCUCAGUGACAAUUCUGAUAUCUGCCCUAGUGACAAUUUUGAUAGUAUCAUAGAAAUUGAAGCAAUUAGGAUAACACUAACGUUGAAAAACAAAUCAUAUGUGCCAGGAACCGUGCGCUGUCUGACUAAC